rnacentral:rRNA from 1 species
UUAUCGGAGAGUUUGAUCCUGGCUCAGGACGAACGCUGGCGGCGUGCCUAAUACAUGCAAGUCGAGCGGACAGAUGGGAGCUUGCUCCCUGAUGUUAGCGGCGGACGGGUGAGGAAAAGGGGGGUAACGGGCGUGGA